GAGAGAGAGAGAGAGAUUCAAAAUCAGCAAACAAGCGGAGGGACCGGUUUGUGCAGAGCCCCAGGCAAUGUCCUCACAGGCAGUAGCACAAUGCUGUGGACUGGAACUUUUCUUGGCUACGCCACUGGGGAUUCAGAGAGAAAGGCUAAAGGCACAAAUACAGAUGAGAGGCAGCCUUGUGAGGCAGCAGGACUCAUCUGUAACGUGGGAGAGAAAUCUGCAGUCUCCUCUGCAUCCGACAAACAAGCAAAAACUGAAGGACACUGAGCAUCCACUCUGACAGACAAGACUACAAACAAAGACAGACAACACGUAACAUCAUCUGCUACAUCCAAGUCUGUCCCAGUUGGCCCUCAUGCAAGGAAUCACCGAGGUACCAUCUGCUUACCAUGUGCGCCUAUUUCCAGACACACCCCCACUGUGCUCCAUAUGGAUUCCCCUGUCAUUCAAAGGAGUCCCCACAGUGACUAUCCUCUCCGAGAGACAGAUACACACUGUAAAUAUUAAAGACACUCUGAAGUUCAGACAAAGCGAUGGGCGUGAACUACAUUGCUCGGGAGAUGCACACAGGAAUGCGACCGGCAUUCCCCAGGUUUCAUCUACAUAAUCUCCGACUGGGGUGAAAUUUAGUACCAUGAGAUCAGUGGGGGGACUUAUCGAAUUUUUCUAGUUUAAUGGAGGAGAACCAUGAGAAAAGAUUUCCGAAU